rnacentral:rRNA from 1 species
GACGAACCGUGCGAACGUUGUUCGGAAUCACUGGGCUUAAAGGGCGCGUAGGCGGGUGACCAAGUCAGGGGUGAAAUCUUUCGGCCCAACCGGAAAAGUGCCUCUGAUACUGGUCGUCUUGAGGGAGGUAGGGGUCGAGGGAACUGGUGGUGGAGCGGUGAAAUGCGUAGAUAUCACUAGGAACGCCGGUGGCGAAAGCGCUCGACUGGACCUCUUCUGAUGCUGAGGCGCGAAAGCCAGGGGAGCAAACGGG